rnacentral:rRNA from 1 species
AUCAGGUAGGAAUACCCGCUGAACUUAAGCAUAUCAAUAAGCGGAGGAAAAAAA